rnacentral:rRNA from 1 species
UACGAAUGGGGCAAGCGUUGUUCGGAAUCACUGGGCUUAAAGCGUGCGUAGGCGGACAUGAAAGUCAGGAGUGAAAUCCCGGGGCUCAACCUCGGAAUUGCUUUUGAAACUCCAUGUCUGGAAUCCGGGAGAGGUUAGCAGAAUUCCGAGUGUAGAGGUGAAAUUCGCAGAUAUUCGGAGGGAUACCAGUGGCGAAGGCGGCUAACUGGACCGGCAUUGACGCUGAGGCCCGAAAGGCGGGGGAGGAAACAGG